CCAGUGUUGUUCUAAGUUCCAUUGAGCCACACUCUGAAUCCCAGGAGAAGGAGGACACAGUCCUUACCCUAGAGGCUCUGCACAGAUGGGUGCCAAGAAGCAUUCUGCAGCCUCCCACACCUCGGAGUCAGCAGGAAGAGCCAUGUUAAAGAGGUGCAGGUAUAGGCAGGAGGAAGACACUUCCAGGUUGUUUCUUCAUGGAGUUACUCAGAGCUCAUGCAGAGCUGGCUACUGUUGCAGUAGCUGGAAUACAAACAGUGCAGUGCCUCUCACUUAGCACUCUUAGACCAAGAAAGAAUGCUCAUUGAUUCUGACAUGGUGGAGGACAAAUUGCCCCAACACGCAGAAGUGCAAUACUGUUAACUAAAUGAAACAGGAGCCCGAAUAGCACAAGUCAUACGAAUAAAGGCUGAUCUGAAGGAAAGGUAUGUAUCAGAGCAUUGAUUGAAGAUUUACUGUGGGCCAAGUAAAUCAGGUUUGAGGAGAUACAAAGAGAGAUAUGACAAUUUCAACAACAUCCUUGUGUCAAGGGAAUUACUGUUU